rnacentral:rRNA from 1 species
CAGGGCUUGACAUCCUCUGAAUGCCAUAGAGAUAUGGAGUUCUCUUCGGAGACAGAGAGGCAGGUGGUGCAUGGUUGUCGUCAGCUCGUGUCGUGAGAUGUUGGGUUAAGUCCCGCAACGAGCGCAACCCCUGUACUUAGUUGCCAGCAUUAAGUUGGGUACUCUAAGUAGACUGCCGGUGACAAACCGGAGGAAGGUGGGGAUGACGUCAAAUCAUCAUGCCCCUUAUGUCCUGGGCUACACACGUGCUACAAUGGUCGGUACAGAGGGCAGCAAAGCCGUGAGGUGGAGCAAAUCCCAAAAAGCCGAUCACAGUUCGGAUUGUAGGCUGAAACUCGCCUACAUGAAGUCGGAAUCGCUAGUAAUCGCAGGUCAGCAUACUGCGGUGAAUACGUUCCC